rnacentral:RNase_P_RNA from 1 species
GCGAUGAAUCGGGCCGCCGCGGCGCGCUGAUCGUUGGAUCAGGCGUGUUGAGGAAAGUCCGGGCUCCACAGGGCAUGGUGCCGGGUAACACCCGGGCGGGGAAAACCCCGACAGCAAGCGCAACAGAAAGCAAACCGCUCACCGUUGGCUUCCAUCAGUGGGUAAGGGUGAAACGGCGUGGUAAAAGCACACCGCGGGUUUGGCGACAAACUCGGCGAGGUAAGCCUCAUCAGGAGCAAAGUUAAACAGCGGCGUAUCCGUGGAAACGUAUUUUAUACGUUUCCAUAUGAACUGCCCGUUCAGCCGCGGGUAAACUGCGAAGAUGCUGUCCGCAAGGACAACAGCAAGAUAGAUGGCGGCCGGACGUUUUUAGGAACGUCACAGAACCCGGCUUACGAUUCAUCGCUUUU